GAUGAAGAACGUAGCGAAAUGCGAUAAGUAAUGUGAAUUGCAGAAUUCAGUGAAUCAUAGAAUCUUUGAACGCACAUUGCGCCCGCCAGUAUUCUGGCGGGCAUGCCUGUCUGAGCGUCAUUUCAACCCUCAUGCCCCUAGGGCGUGGUGUUGGGGAUCGGCCAAAGCCCGCGAGGGACGGCCGGCCCCUAAAUCUAGUGGCGGACCCGUCGUGGCCUCCUCUGCGAAGUAGUGAUAUUCCGCAUCGGAGAGCGAUGAGCCCCUGCCGUUAAACCCCCAACUUUCCAAGGUUGACCUCAGAUCAGGUAGGAAUACCCGCUGAACUUAAGCAUAUCAAUAAGCGGAGGA
rnacentral:misc_RNA from 1 species